rnacentral:lncRNA from 1 species
UGGCUGUGGAGAGGGUGUCCAAGGGCUGGUGGCCUAGGCCUGCCACAGAAGCCUGAAAACUUGCUGGAAUAGAUCCUGGAAAGGCCAUGGAGAAUGGAUGCAGGGACAACCUAAAAGAGGGUCUGAUGGAGGAGAGAAAGCAGGCUGAUCCUGGGCCCUUGGGUGCUGGAGGAAGAGGCCCCCUGAAGGGAGCAGGAGAAGAAAGGACAGCAGAGGAGUGCUGAAAUUCACCUUGCUGACUGCCCUGCUGACUGCCCUGGGCCACUGUUCUUGGCUUUAGGAGAUUCAAAGUCUAAGAAAGAUCCCUUUCCCCUGAUCCGCCAAAGUUUUCAUUUCCUGGAGAAAUAGCUUCUCUCUCUGCGUGUUUCCGUCAACUCUCAGCAAGACCUGAACAAGUGCAUGAAGGUGAUAAACCUGCUACUUCACUGGGGCUGUUUAUUUCCAGUCGACAAAUAUUGUGCCAAUGUUCACUUCAAUUAGGGGACACAUUUGACAAUCUGACUACUCCAUCUGAUGCCUCAAGGGCAAAUUUCAGCUCUUUCAGGAAGGGAUGGGCCAAUAACGGAUUCGUAUGAAUAAAAUAUACAGAGAAGGAACAUUCGCAGCAGUUUGGGGAAACCACCUUCUCCAGCAAGGAGAGCAAAAUGUCUACAUGAAGAUAAAAUUCACAUAAAUAAAGCAUGGGGCUUAAACUGUUGGGAUGCUGGGAAUUCAGAGUGAAGGCUCCUGUGCCUGCUUGCCCAUCACCUGCCUGGAGUUGGGAAUUAAGAAGUGCAAAUCAGCACUAAGGAG